GACGAACGCUGGCGGCGUGCUUAACACAUGCAAGUCGAACGGAAAGGCCCUGCUUUUGUGGGGUGCUCGAGUGGCGAACGGGUGAGUAACACGUGAGUAACCUGCCCUUGACUUUGGGAUAACUUCAGGAAACUGGGGCUAAUACCGUAUAGGAGCUCCUGCUGCAUGGUGGGGGUUGGAAAGUUUCGGCGGUUGGGGAUGGACUCGCGGCUUAUCAGCUUGUUGGUGGGGUAGUGGCUUACCAAGGCUUUGACGGGUAGCCGGCCUGAGAGGGUGACCGGCCACAUGGGGACUGAGAUACGGCCCAGACUCCUACGGGAGGCAGCAGUGGGGAAUAUUGCACAAUGGGCGGAAGCCUGAUGCAGCAACGCCGCGUGCGGGAUGACGGCCUUCGGGUUGUAAACCGCUUUCGCCUGUGACGAAGCGUGAGUGACGGUAAUGGGUAAAGAAGCACCGGCUAACUACGUG
rnacentral:rRNA from 1 species